GUGGGUAUAGCUUAGUGGCAGGGCACAUGCUUAGCACAUAUGAGGUCUUGAGUUUAAUUCCUAGUACCUCCA
rnacentral:tRNA from 1 species